rnacentral:rRNA from 1 species
UGGGGAAUUUUGGACAAUGGGGGCAACCCUGAUCCAGCAAUGCCGCGUGAGUGAAGAAGGCCUUCGGGUUGUAAAGCUCUUUUGUCAGGGAAGAAACGGGCCUGGAUAAUACCUGGGCUUAAUGACGGUACCUGAAGAAUAAGCACCGGCUAACUACGUGCCAGCAGCCGCGGUAAUACGUAGGGUGCAAGCGUUAAUCGGAAUUACUGGGCGUAAAGCGUGCGCAGGCGGUUUUGUAAGUCUGUCGUGAAAUCCCCGGGCUCAACCUGGGAAUUGCGAUGGAGACUGCAAGGCUGGAGUCUGGCAGAGGGGGGUAGAAUUCCACGUGUAGCAGUGAAAUGCGUAGAGAUGUGGAGGAACACCGAUGGCGAAGGCAGCCCCCUGGGUCAAGACUGACGCUCAUGCACGAAAGCGUGGGGAGCAAACA